AGAGGGAACCCGGUGGAAAUCCGGGACUGUCCCGCAGCGGUGAGUGGGAACGACCGCCGUCAUCAGCACUGGGCACACCGCCUGGGAAGCGACGGCCAGUAGGUCGGCCGAAGUGGCCGGUGCCCGCGAGUCCGAAGACCU
rnacentral:ncRNA from 2 species